rnacentral:rRNA from 1 species
AAGCAUAUCAAUAAGCGGAGGAAAAGAAACCAACAGGGAUUGCCCUAGUAACGGCGAGUGAAGCGGCAACAGCUCAAAUUUGAAAUCUGGCCCUCGCGGUCCGAGUUGUAAUUUGUAGAGGAUGCUUUUGGUUAGGUACCUUCCGAGUUCCCUGGAACGGGACGCCAGAGAGGGUGAGAGCCCCGUACGGUUGGAUACCGAGCCUCUAUAUAGCUCCUUCGACGAGUCGAGUAGUUUGGGAAUGCUGCUCUAAAUGGGAGGUAAAUUUCUUCUAAAGCUAAAUACCGGCCAGAGACCGAUAGCGCACAAGUAGAGUGAUCGAAAGAUGAAAAGUACUUUGAAAAGAGGGUUAAAUAGCACGUGAAAUUGUUGAAAGGGAAGCGUUUGCGACCAGACUUUUUCCGGGCGGAUCAUCCGGUGUUCUCACCGGUGCACUUCGCCCGGUUUAGGCCAGCAUCGGUUCUCCUAGGGGGAUAAAGGCGGGGGGAACGUGGCUCCUUCGGGAGUGUUAUAGCCCCCCGCGUAAUACCCCUCGGGGGACCGAGGAACGCGCAUCUGCAAGGAUGCUGGCGUAAUGGUCGCCAACGACCCGU